rnacentral:rRNA from 1 species
UACGUAGGGGGCUAGCGUUGUCCGGAAUCAUUGGGCGUAAAGAGCGUGUAGGCGGCCCGGUAAGUCCGUUGUGAAAGUCAAAGGCUCAACCUUUGAACGCCGAUGGAUACUGCCGGGCUAGAGUCCGGAAGAGGCGAGUGGAAUUCCUGGUGUAGCGGUGGAAUGCGCAGAUAUCAGGAGGAACACCAAUAGCGAAGGCAGCUCGCUGGGACGGUACUGACGCUGAGGCGCGAAAGCGUGGGGAGCGAACAGG